UACGGAGGGUGCAAGCAUUGAUCGGAAUUACUGGGCGUAAAGGGCGCGUAGGCGGUCCUAUAAGUCGGAUGUGAAAUUCCGGGGCUCAACCCCGGAGCUGCAUUUGAAACUAUUAGACUAGAGUACAGUUAGGGAAAACGGAAUUCCACGUGUAGCGGUGAAAUGCGUAGAUAUGUGGAAGAACACCGGUGGUGAAGACGGUUUUCUGGGCUGUUACUGACGCUGAGGCGCGAAAGCUAGGGGAGCAAACAGG
rnacentral:rRNA from 1 species